UUGACGGGACCCGCACAAGCGGUGGAUGAUGUGGUUAAUUCGAUGCAACGCGAAAACCUUACCACCUUUGACAUGUACGGAACCCUUUAGAGAUAGAGGGUGCUCGAAAGAGAGCCGUAACACAGGUGCUGCAUGGCUGUCGUCAGCUCGUGUCGUGAGAUGUUGGGUUAAUCCCGCAACGAGCGCAACCCUUGUCAUUAGUUGCUACAUUCAGUUGGGCACUCUAAUGAGACUGCCGGUGACAAGCCGGAGGAAGGUGGGGAUGACGUCAAGUCCUCAUGGCCCUUAUAGGUGGGGCUACACACGUCAUACAAUGGCUGGUACAAAGGGUUGCCAACCCGCGAGGGGGAGCCAAUCCCAUAAAGCCAGUCGUAGUCCGGAUCGUAGUCUGCAACUCGACUACGUGAAGUCGGAAUCGCUAGUAAUCGUGGAUCAGAAUGUCACGGUGAAUACGUUCCCGGGUCUU
rnacentral:rRNA from 1 species